rnacentral:lncRNA from 1 species
UUGUGAGGUAAUUAGGUUUAGAUUAGGUCAUCAGAGGGGGACCCUCAUGAUGGAGUUAGAGCCCUUGUAAAAAGAGGAAGACGAAUCUUUCUCUCUCUCUCUCAUUCUCUUUCUCCCUCAUACACAAACAAAAGGAAGGUCAGUUGAACACACAGCAAGAAGGCAGCUGCAAGUCAGAAAGCAGGUCCUCACCAGGAACCAAAUCUGUUGGCACUUUCAUCUUAGACUUCCCAGCCUCUGGAAUGCAUUCUGCAGGGAUAAGAGAAAAGUGAAGUAUGAAGUUUUCUUGGUGUUAGUGACCCUAAGCAGCUCCAAAACAGGAUUCACUGACCUUUAGGCAUAGUUUUCACAAGGGAAGUCAGCAGGUUCACAUCCAAGAGAUUUUGGUGGCUAUUCAUUACAGUCUAGAAGAGCCAUGCUGUCUUUGCAUACAGAGACUAGCAGGUGCCUGAUGCAAAGCAAUGCCCCUUGGGAGUCAAGCUUCACCAAGGACUUCCAUGCUUGUUUGGAUGGCUGGAUCUCGACAUUGCCAAGUUGUGUAUCCUCCCCUCCUCUGCUUUUCUUUCCUUUCUAUCCAGUCUAUGAUAGAUGUACCACUCUAACCUCACUCCCCCAUCACUCAUACGUCUUACUUCCUAUCUUUCAUGUAUUGAAUUUGUGAAGAUCUGCUUGAGCCAUCAAGUAAUAGCAUCACCUAGGUCCUUCAGGGCUUCCUACCUUUUCAAAGAGCUUGCAGAGGGCAGCUGUCAGUCUUGACCCACCAAUGAGAAAAUACUCACACCCAGAUUCCUAAGUCCAUGGCAAAAAAUAUCUUUCAUCCACGGGCAUUCCUAAUUCCAGUGGCCUUUAGAGCAGCAAACCAGUGAUGUCACCACAAACUUCACCAUCAAAAAAUCUGUUCCAAUUCUGAAGGCUUUUUGGGGAGAGGGACCUAGGAAUGUGUCUCACUCGCAACUAUGUAAUCUGAGUUGUAGGAAAAUUCCCUUUUCUAUUAUCUUAACCAUAGCAGAUGCCUCCUAAAAGGGGCACAUGCCCUUCUAAUAACCAGCAGGAAGAAAAUAUAGGAACCACUUUGAACAGCAUAUACAGUUUCUUUGUAAUCUGACCCUCAUCCAACCAUGCCUCAGCUGCAGUCACUCCUUGCCUUAUACUUCAUUCUCCAACAACUCAAAGUCUCUGAUAGAUUCUGGAAGCUCUGGCAGGUCUUCAUGCUUUUGACCAUGUUGUUUCCCCUGCUUUGAAAGACCUCUCCUGCUCUUAUCCGCCUGGCAAACUCCUCUCUGUGCACCAAGCCUCAGCUCCAAGGCUACUUUCCUUACUCUCCCUAGCAGAUAUAAAGCUUUUCUCCUUGAGGACUGCACCGUUCUUGGCCUAACCAUCAUCACUGUUGUUGCUUGAAUGUUUGUGUUCCCCCCAAAUUCCUAUGUUGAAACUUAACUCCCACUGUGAUCGUAUUAAGAGGUAGGGCCUUUGGGAGGCGAUUAAGUCAUGAGGACAUCCCCUCACAAAUGAGGUUAGUGUCCUUACAAAACAGACUUGAGGGAGCCUGUUUGUCCCUUUGCACUUCUGACAAGUGCAGACACAGUUUAAAAGCACUCAUCUAUGAGAACAGACCACUACCAGACACUGACUCUGCUGGUGCCCUUGAUCUUGGACUUCCCAGCUUCUAGAACUCUGUGUCAGGGAAAAUGUACUCAUUCUCAACUAAUUCUCCACUAAAUGUACUAAGUCAGGAAUUGAAGUGAGUUGGCCUGCCUGUUAAUACUUUGCACCUAAAACAAUGACAGUAAAUCUCUGGCAACAGGCUUGAGCCUCAGUUCCUCAGGCUUCUAACCCACCAUCCUCAUG